UAAUAAAGCUCAUGAUAAUUUAACUUUACAACAUGGACAUGCCUGCAACAGCGGAGCUAACAAGUUUCAUCACCACAAAGAGCGACUCUGUCAUUUUGAACAAUCGCUGCCAG